UUCUAACCGUAAACUAUGCCAACUAGCGAUCCGUCGGUGUUAAAUAUUGACUCGACGGGCAGCUUCCGGGAAACCAAAGUUUUCAGGUUCCGGGGGAAGUAUGGUUGCAAAGCUUAAACUUAAAGGAAUUGACGGAAGGGCACCACCAGGAGUGGAGCCUGCGGCUUAAUUUGACUCAACACGGGGAAACUCACCCGGCCAGGACACAAUAAGGAUUGACAGAUUGAUAGCUCUUUCUUGAUUUUGUGGGUGGUGGUGCAUGGCCGUUCUUAGUUGGUGGAGCGAUUUGUCUGGUUAAUUCCGAUAACGAACGAGACUCUAGCCUAUUAAAUAGAUGAUAUAUCGUCUUCGUAUAUCAAGCUUCUUAGAGGGACGAGCAGCUUCUAGCUGCACGAGAUUGAGCAAUAACAGGUCUGUGAUGCCCUUAGAUGUCCGGGGCUGCACGCGCGCUACAAUGAAAAUAGCAGCGCGUGUCGAAAACCUUUUCUGGAAAGAAUUGGUAAACGCUAAAUAUUUUCGUGAUAGGGAUAGGGGAUUGAAAUUAUUGCCCUUGAACGAGGAAUUCCCAGUAAGUUCGAGUCAUCAGCUCGAGUUG
rnacentral:rRNA from 1 species